AGCUUGCUUGCUCUGCCGGCGACCGGCUUACGGGUGAGUAACACGUAUGCAACCUGCCCUCCGCAGGGGGAUAACCCGGAGAAAUCCGGACUAAUACCGCGUGGUACAUCUGUGGGGCAUCCCACGGGUGUUAAAAGGAAGUGAUUCCGGCGGAGGAUGGGCAUGCGGCGCAUUAGCUAGUUGGCGGGGUAACGGCCCACCAAGGCGACGAUGCGUAGGGGUUCUGAGAGGAAGGUCCCCCACACUGGUACUGAGACACGGACCAGACUCCUACGGGAGGCAGCAGUGAGGAAUAUUGGUCAAUGGGCGGGAGCCUGAACCAGCCAAGUCGCGUGAGGGAAGACGGUCCUAUGGAUUGUAAACCUCUUUAGGCGGGGAGCAAUGCCGGGCACGCGUGCCCGGAGGGAGAGUACCCGCAGAAUAAGCAUCGGCUAACUCCGUGCCAGCAGCCGCGGUAAUACGGAGGAUGCGAGCGUUAUCCGGAUUUAUUGGGUUUAAAGGGUGCGUAGGCGGAUUUUUAAGUCAGCGGUAAAAUGUCCGGGCUCAACCCGGGCCGGCCGUUGAAACUGGGGAUCUUGAGUGGGCGAGAAGUAUGCGGAAUGCGUGGUGUAGCGGUGAAAUGCAUAGAUAUCACGCAGAACUCCGAUUGCGAAGGCAGCAUACCGGCGCCCGACUGACGCUGAGGCACGAAAGCGUGGGGAUCGAACAGGAUUAGAUACCCUGGUAGUCCACGCAGUUAACGAUGAAUGCUAGUUGUCCG
rnacentral:rRNA from 1 species